rnacentral:rRNA from 2 species
UACGUAGGGGGCAAGCGUUGUCCGGAAUCAUUGGGCGUAAAGCGCGUGUAGGCGGCUUGGUAAGUCCGUUCUGAAAGCCCGGGGCUCAACCCCGGGAGGCGGAUGGAUACUGUCAAGCUCGAGUCCGGAAGAGGCGAGUGGAAUUCCAGGUGUAGCGGUGAAAUGCGCAGAUAUCUGGAGGAACACCAAUGGCGAAGGCAGCUCGCUGGGACGGUACUGACGCUGAGACGCGAAAGCGUGGGGAGCAAACAGG